rnacentral:rRNA from 1 species
UGGGGAAUAUUGCACAAUGGGGGAAACCCUGAUGCAGCGACGCCGCGUGAACGAAGAAGGUAUUCGUAUCGUAAAGUUCUGUCCUAUGGGAAGAUAAUGACAGUACCAUAGAAGAAAGCUCCGGCUAAAUACGUGCCAGCAGCCGCGGUAAUACGUAUGGAGCGAGCGUUGUCCGGAAUUAUUGGGCGUAAAGGGUACGCAGGCGGUUUAAUAAGUCGAAUGUUAAAGAUCGGGGCUCAACCCCGUAAAGCAUUGGAAACUGAUAAACUUGAGUAGUGGAGAGGAAAGUGGAAUUCCUAGUGUAGUGGUGAAAUACGUAGACAUUAGGAGGAAUACCAGUAGCGAAGGCGACUUUCUGGACACAAACUGACGCUGAGGUACGAAAGCGUGGGGAGCAAACAGG